ACUCAAAGGAAUAGACGGGGGCCCGCACAAGCAGUGGAGUAUGUGGUUUAAUUCGAAGCAACGCGAAGAACCUUACCAGGGCUUGACAUGCAGGUGAAGUAUUAAGAGAUUAAUAUGAUCGAAAGAACACCUGUGCAGGUGGUGCAUGGUUGUCGUCAGCUCGUGUCGUGAGAUGUUUGGUUAAGUCCAUUAACGAGCGCAACCCCUAUUGUUAGUUACUAACACGUAAAGGUGAGGACUCUAACGAGACUGCCGAUAAAGAAGUCGGAGGAAGGAGGGGACGAUGUAAAAUCAUCAUGCCCUAUAUGUCCUGGGCUACACACGUACUACAAUGGUCGUAACAGAGGGAAGCGAAGCAGAGAUGUGAAGCGAAACCCAAAAAGCGAUCACAGUUCGGAUUGAAGGCUGAAAUUCGCCUUCAUGAAGCCGGAAUUGCUAGUAAUUGCAGGUCAGCAUACUGCAGUGAAUACGUUCCCGGGCCUUGUACACACCGCCCGU
rnacentral:rRNA from 1 species